AACUCUUUUAUGUGAUUUUCUCUUCUCCACUAGUUUCGCAAUAAUUCUUAGGACUGCUGUGUCACAAUGUCCUGUUCAAAAUUAGAGUUGGGACUGACCUCACGGUCACAUCCCGGUAAGGUCAGCCAUCGCUGUAACCCCCAACUCAUUUAACAUUUUAUGCUUUGUUUUUCUUAUUUGUAUUUUACUUUCAGGUAAUUACUAUUAAUUUUUAUUCAAAACUUUUCUAGGUGGUGCAGACAUAGUUCUA
rnacentral:misc_RNA from 1 species